GAUGAACGCUGGCGGCGUGCCUAAUACAUGCAAGUCGAGCGAACAGAUAAGGAGCUUGCUCCUUUGACGUUAGCGGCGGACGGGUGAGUAGCACGUGGGUAACCUACCUAUAAGACUGGAAUAACUCCGGGAAACCGGGGCUAAUGCCGGAUAACAUGUUGAACCGCAUGGUUCUACAGUGAAAGGCGGCUUUGCUGUCACUUAUAGAUGGACCCGCGCCGUAUUAGCUAGUUGGUGAGGUAACGGCUCACCAAGGCAACGAUACGUAGCCGACCUGAGAGGGUGAUCGGCCACACUGGAACUGAGACACGGUCCAGACUCCUACGGGAGGCAGCAGUAGGGAAUCUUCCGCAAUGGGCGAAAGCCUGACGGAGCAACGCCGCGUGAGUGAUGAAGGUCUUCGGAUCGUAAAACUCUGUUAUUAGGGAAGAACAAAUGCGUAAGUAACUGUGCGCGUCUUGACGGUACCUAAUCAGAAAGCCACGGCUAACUACGUG
rnacentral:rRNA from 1 species